GGAAGCGGGGCUGGAGUCCGAACCAGCGCAGCGCGGGGCGGGGCAGCGGGAAGGGUGCUCUGGGGAGCUCAGAGGCCGGGGAGGAGAGGGAGCUCGGGGUGCAGCCCCACGUGUGUGAUGAGCUGCUGGCCCAGGCUACACCCCAACAAGGGACACCGGGGGCCCUGGGAGCAGAGGGACCUCAGAGCAGCCUCCUCCUGCCUCCUGUGGACGGCCAGCCCCAGCUGGUGAUCCCAGCCAGUCCCAGCUUUCAGUUGCUGCCCGUACCGACAGUCCUCAGUCCCUCCAUGAUGGCUCCCCCGACAGCCG
rnacentral:lncRNA from 1 species